rnacentral:rRNA from 1 species
GAGUUUGAUCAUGGCUCAGAUUGAACGCUGGCGGAAUGCUUUACACAUGCAAGUCGAACGGCAGCACGGGAGCUUGCUCCUGGUGGCGAGUGGCGAACGGGUGAGUAAUGCGUCGGAACGUGCCGAGUAAUGGGGGAUAACGCACCGAAAGGUGUGCUAAUACCGCAUACGCCCCGAGGGGGAAAGCAGGGGAUCGUAAGACCUUGCGUUAUUCGAGCGGCCGACGUCUGAUUAGCUAGUUGGUGGGGUAAAGGCCUACCAAGGCGACGAUCAGCAGCGGGUCUGAGAGGAUGAUCCGCCACACUGGAACUGAGACACGGUCCAGACUCCUACGGGAGGCAGCAGUGGGGAAUUUUGGACAAUGGGGGCAACCCUGAUCCAGCCAUUCCGCGUGAGUGAAGAAGGCCUUCGGGUUGUAAAGCUCUUUCAGCUGGAACGAAACGGUACGCUCUAACAUAGCGUGCUAAUGACGGUACCAGCAGAAGAAGCACCGGCUAACUACGUGCCAGCAGCCGCGGUAAUACGUAGGGUGCGAGCGUUAAUCGGAAUUACUGGGCGUAAAGCGUGCGC